GCAAAGAGGUGAACUGCACUAUUUUAAAACAUAAUAAUUUAAAAAAAUAUCUACAGGAGAUAAAAAAGGAGAAUUCAUACCUUUUGAGCUGAUCUCAGUUUUGAUUUAACUGAUUAAACAAUGGGGGUUGGACUGAUGAUAUCAGUUUCCUUGCUUCUAAUAGCCACAACAAUAAUGCCUGGAAGUAUCAACACAGCCGCAGCCACUACGACAACGACUGCUGCCACCACCAUUACCACAGCCCCAGCAACUACGACAACAAUGGCUGCCACCACCACCAC